AUGUAUUUAGCCAUCACUACUUUAUUAUAUAAGGCCUGUGGUAAGCUUAUACAGUAUAUUAUUACAGUGGAAAUUGGAGGACAGAGAAUGCUUACAACUAUAUUAUUAGAUCAUUAUUUAGGCAGAAACUGGGUUGAAGUGAAUCAUAGGAAGGCACAGAAGUGGGCGUUCCAUGAUCGUAGUAAAGCCUGCUUUAGCUUCCAUAUUAACCUUUCCUUCAUCUCCAGCAACCUUCCAAUCAAAGCAUUGAACCAUGGAUGCCACAUUAAUAUUCAUUACACUGAAGGCCAAUUGCGAACCAGGGCACAUUCUCCUUCCCCCACCAAAUGGAAGAAAAUUGAAAUUUUGCUUUUUAGUUUCCUUUCGGCUUUCUUGUUCUUUCAAGAAUCUCUCUGGGUAGAACUCAUCAGGAUUAUCCCACAAUUCUGGAUCCCUCAUUAUGGAAUAUGCGUUGACAAUUACGGCAGUUUCUUUAGGUACAUCAAAUCCUCCUAUUUUACAAUCUUCUCGGCAUUUUCUAGGUAUUGCAGGUACUAAUGGGUACAGUCUCAAGGUUUCUUUUACUACAGCUUGCAAAUAAUGGAGAUUUGGGAUGUCAGAAUCUUCCACUAGUCUAUUUGUUCCAACAACUGACUCUAUCUCCUCUCUUAGCUUCCUGAAUACAUUAGGAUGAUUGAUGAUCUCUGCCAUCGUCCAUUGCAAGGUAUUUGCUGCAGUAUCAGUCCCUCCAAUGAAGAGUUCCAGAAUAAAGGCCUUCAUCUGUGUCUUACUUAUCCUAAACUCUGCAUUUUCAUCUUGAUAUACUUUCAAGAGAAUAUCCAUCAAAUCCUUAUCCUCUCUCUCUUCACACUCUCUCUUUGCUCUCUCUUCAUGCUCCUUCCAUAUCUUUUCAAACAAAUCAUCGUACCUCUUAGGUAUAUCAUCUAGCUGUUUUCUAUUCACCCAAUAACCAAAUUUUUUCAGAGGUCCUAACAUGCUAGCUAUAAGCAGCUUUCCAGUCAGAGCUAUCGAUCCUUCCACCAGUUCUCUGCACCUCUGAGCCUCAUCAUCUUCCUCUGAGCACCUUGUGCUCAUUACUAUCCUGCAUGUAGUGUUAUUUGUCAGCUUCAUCAGCUCCUGACCCACAUCAAUAUUCUCAUUCUUGUAAGCUUUUUCGACCAGAUUAUGCAAGAAACGCCUAAGUUCUUCGUGCCGUACACCACGAGAUCGUUCAAGCUGUGAUGCUCCUAGCAAUUCAGUUACGCAAAGCUUCUUCAUGAACUUCCAGUAAUCUCCGUAAGGAGCAGUAACAAAGCCUGUGUUUGAUCCAAAGAGCAACCCAUCAUCGAAAGGAGUUUCGGGUUUUUCUGAGAAGGCGAGAUCAUUCGUUUUGAAGAUCUCAGCUGCAAAUGAUGCUGAUGAGACGAGAAGAAGGGGACGAGAGCCAAGGUGGAGAUAGAGGAGAGGGCCAUGUUUAGAAGAGAUGUUAUGGAAGCAUUUGGACACCACUGGGCUGAAGAGGUGAAUGUGACCUAUGAAUGGAAGAGCUGGUGGGCUUGGAGGAAGGCGAAGAUUUGGCUUGGUGGGUUUCUUGAGGAGUUGUUGAAGGAGAAGUCUUGAGACUAGCCAUAGAAAGAAAGCGAUGAAGUAGAAUUGGGUAUCGCCGAUGAUUGCCAUUAUUGCAGAUGGUUUAGAGUUAAGACAACCUGGUGAAUUUUCUCUUGGGUUUAAUAUUAGUAGGGAUUGUGAAGUAAAUCAGAUUGAAGUCAACUGUAAGUUAGUCGGCUAAUAUUCAUUAUCACUGACCUAAGCUGAGUAAUCCAAAGUCAACGAUUUGGUGAUUAUUCUUGUAGAAAUUGAAGUUGGAAUCUUUUGGUGGAAAUUGG
rnacentral:misc_RNA from 1 species